rnacentral:rRNA from 1 species
CCAGCCAUGCCGCGUGUGUGAAGAAGGCCUUCGGGUUGUAAAGCACUUUCGGCGGGAACGAAAUCGUCCUGGUUAAUACCUGGGGCGGAUGACGGUACUCGCAGAAGAAGCACCGGCUAACUACGUGCCAGCAGCCGCGGUAAUACGUAGGGUGCGAGCGUUAAUCGGAAUUACUGGGCGUAAAGCGUGCGCAGGCGGCUUUUUAAGCCAGAUGUGAAAGCCCCGGGCUUAACCUGGGAACUGCAUUUGGGACUGGAAGGCUAGAGUGCGGAAGAGGGGGGUGGAAUUCCACGUGUAGCAGUGAAAUGCGUAGAGAUGUGGAGGAACACCGAUGGCGAAGGCAGCCCCCUGGGUCGACACUGACGCUCAUGCACGAAAGCGUGGGGAGCAAACAGGAUUAGAUACCCUGGUAGUCCACGCCCUAAACGAUGUCAACUGGUUGUUGGGGAAGGAGACUUCCUUAGUAACGUAGCUAACGCGCGAAGUUGACCGCCUGGGGAGUACGGCCGCAAGGUUGAAACUUAAAGGAAUUGACGG